rnacentral:rRNA from 1 species
GGCGAACGCUGGCGGCGUGCUUAACACAUGCAAGUCGAACGGAAAGGCCCUGCUUUUGUGGGGUGCUCGAGUGGCGAACGGGUGAGUAACACGUGAGUAACCUGCCCUUGACUUUGGGAUAACUUCAGGAAACUGGGGCUAAUACCGGAUAGGAGCUCCUGCUGCAUGGUGGGGGUUGGAAAGUUUCGGCGGUUGGGGAUGGACUCGCGGCUGAUCAGCUUGUUGGUGGGGUAGUGGCUUACCAAGGCUUUGACGGGUAGCCGGCCUGAGAGGGUGACCGGCCACAUUGGGACUGCGAUACGGCCCAGACUCCUACGGGGGGCAGCAGUGGGGAAUAUUGCACAAUGGGCGGAAGCCUGAUGCAGCAACGCCGCGUGCGGGAUGACGGCCUUCGGGUUGUAAACCGCUUUCGCCUGUGACGAAGCGUGAGUGACGGUAAUGGGUAAAGAAGCACCGGCUAACUACGUG